rnacentral:lncRNA from 1 species
AAGCGCGAGGAGCGGGGCGAGCGCGCGUGCUCCCGGAUCCUUAGCAGUGUCCGGCACCCCUUCCCUUCGCCAGGCCCGUUUGGCGCCUUCACUCGGGAAGACGUUGGCCAGGCCUUCCCGCACGGCGCUUUGGAGACGUCUUACUUCGGCAGCACGCGCACACUGCGCGAUCCGACACGGGCAGCGGGGACCUAGGGAGCCGGGGACGCUGCCUGUCCGGUCCGGUUCCGCAGCCACCGCAGCACCAAGGGCCAUCGUUAGGCUCCCCCCAACACCGCUCCCUCUAGAGCUCCGGGCCUCGGAAGCGGCUGUACGUGGGCAUGGCUGGAGAGGUUCCGCUGGUUUGGGGCAGUCGCCGGGAUUCCGACUGGUUGGUGUGGGGUGUGGCCUGUGCGGUCCAGCUCCCAGCUGAUCCUAAUGUGCGGCACAGCGGAAACCGCCGGUCCACAUCAGUGCUUCUCACUUAAAGGGGCUUACGAAUCGUCGGGGGUGGGGGAGCUGGACUUGGAAUUUUUUAAGAGAUGAGGUCUCACUCUGUCACCCAGGCUGGAGUGCAGUGGCGCGAUUACGGCUCACUGCAGACUCGAUCUCCUUGGGCUCAACUUUAAUGUAAAUUGGGAUUGGGUAGGUCUGUAAGGGGACCCGAGCUCCCCUCCCAUGUUGUUGCCAAGCUCCUGAGCUCGGCCUGCUGGCGGGUGGGGGCCGGGAGGAGGAGGACUCCAGGGGCUUCCCACCUGGUCUCCACCCCCCUCCCCCACUCAUUCUUGACGCUGCAUCCAUGAUUGUUCUAAACAACUUAAAGCAGAAAUCUUAGAGCAAAUAACGAAAACUGGCAGAAAGCCAUUGAUAUCUCCUAAGGACUUAAAAAAAUUCAUGUAAAAAAUUACAUAAACGUUUCAAAGCAGUAUGUAUAAAUUUGAAAUACUGAAAAUAAACGCAUACCAUUAAAGGAAUAGUUAAUUGUUUGAUUCCAUUAUGAAA